AGGACGAACGCUGGCGGCGUGCUUAACACAUGCAAGUCGAACGGUGAAGGAGAGCUUGCUCUCUGGAUCAGUGGCGAACGGGUGAGUAACACGUGAGUAACCUGCCCUUGACUCUGGGAUAAGCGUUGGAAACGACGUCUAAUACCGGAUACGAGCUUCAGUCGCAUGGGCUAGGAGCGUGGAAAGAAUUUCGGUACAAGGAUGGACUCGCGGCCUAUCAGCUAGUUGGUGAGGUAAUGGCUCACCAAGGCGACGACGGGUAGCCGGCCUGAGAGGGUGACCGGCCACACUGGGACUGAGACACGGCCCAGACCUCCUACGGGAGCAGCAGGUGGGAAUAGUUGCACAAGUGGCG
rnacentral:rRNA from 1 species